UCAACCCUGUUUCCAGAAACUGCCGCAAUGCGCUCCUCGUAGCUGCACAAAUCCGGCGACCUUAAGCUCCCGGCCGCUGCCGCCCGGAGAUUCGGCGCCGUAUUCGCGUCCUGCUCGUCGACCCCAGCUCCCCAGUUCAAUUCCUUCCACUCCCUCGCUGACGUUCGCGAAUCCCAUGCGGCGCCGAGGGGAGCUGCGCGUGGAGCUCUACCCCGUUGACGACGACGCGUCCACGAGCGGCUACGCCGCCCACCACAAGUAUUUGAUUUCCUCCAUCCAGCCUCUGAUUCGCCCCGCUCGCGAGCGCGGUAUUCCCAUGAUGAGCUCGUCGUCGCCACGCAUCCUCUCAAUCCUCGUCCCUGGACGCCCUCUGCCAGAACUCUCUUCCGCGCUGCUGUAAAGGGAACGGCGGGUGGCGUACCUGGCCACCAGAGCGAUCUCCAAUUUCGUGGAUCCUCUCUUAGCUUCAAGGAACCUACGAAGAAAUAAUUCCCAAGCAGAUUUUAAAUAGUGGCCCGUCCGAUACCUGGAUGCUAUGGCAAUAUCAGCGAUUCUGUAAUUGUGCUGCAAAUCAGCGGUUCUGUUUUUUAAAUAUUGCAAUAACAUCGAUUCUGUAGGAUUGUUUCAAGAUUGAUCUUUAGGUACAUGUUGUUUAAUGACAGUUGCAGCUAUACAGUUUCUAGGGUCUUGCUGUCCUGCUUGUUGGAAAUUGCAAAUACAUAUCUAGGAGUAGAUUAACAGCAACACUAAUAAUUCUGUUCGUUGUCCUGCUGUAAUGUAAUGUUAGUGGUGAUUUGGAACUUUGCAAGUGGCAUGCUUAUGAGUAGAUAUACAUAUCUGGCGAUACUGCUUCACCCAUGAUUGUCGCAAUUUGCCACGUUAAUCACAUAGUAGGCUUAUAUGAUAUAUUUAUUGCUCUUUAAUUUUGGGUUCUUCUCCUUGAAUAUUAUGUGACCCUGGGUGAGGAAGAUAAUUGUUUUCCAAGUUAUUAUUGAACAAAGGACCCCUCAAGGAACUACUUUUUUGUCGUUCACAAUAGUAGGAUAUUGUUAUUGUGCCGAUUCAAUCUGACGGACUACUUCCUUUCUCGAAGCAUUGUCGUGGUUCUUUCAAUUCCAAGGGAAAGAAUGUUAAGAAGCUAGAAAAAAGAAUGUUAAGAAGCCAAAAAAAUAUCUGUAUGUAGAGAAAUAAUAAUUGUUGCAGUGUUCAAUAAUCUAGGUUUAAAUUCACGUGAAUCUGCCAACCUUAUGAAUGGGGAUAUUGCCUAUUUUGAGGGGUUUUAAUCUCUACUUGAGCUUACAAAUUUAGCAUCUUUUAUUGAAAAUUCUUGAACAAGCAUAAUCUGUCUUUACUACCCAGGCUUAGAUUCUG